AUUGAACGCUGGCGGCAGGCCUAACACAUGCAAGUCGAACGGUAGCACAGAGAGCUUGCUCUCGGGUGACGAGUGCGGACGGGUGUGUAAUGUCUGGGAAACUGCCCGAUGGAGGGGGAUAACUACUGGAAACGGUAGCUAAUACCGCAUAACGUCGCAAGACCAAAGUGGGGGACCUUCGGGCCUCACACCAUCGGAUGUGCCCAGAUGGGAUUAGCUAGUAGGUGGGAUAAUGGCUCACCUAGGCGACGAUCCCUAGCUGGUCUGAGAGGAUGACCAGCCACACUGGAACUGAGACACGGUCCAGACUCCUACGGGAGGCAGCAGUGGGGAAUAUUGUACAAUGGGCGCAAGCCUGAUGCAGCCAUGCCGCGUGUAUGAAGAAGGCCUUCGGGUUGUAAAGUACUUUCAGCGGGGAGGAAGGCGGUGAAGUUAAUAGCUUCACCGAUUGACGUUACCCGCAGAAGAAGCACCGGCUAACUCCGUGCCAGCCGCCGCCGUAA
rnacentral:rRNA from 1 species